CCUACGUGUGGCUGCAGUGGGGAAUAUUGGACAAUGGGCGAAAGCCUGAUCCAGCCAUGCCGCGUGUGUGAAGAAGGCCUUCGGGUUGUAAAGCACUUUCAGUGGGGAAGAAAGCCUUGGGGCUAAUACCCUCGAGGAAGGACAUCACCCACAGAAGAAGCACCGGCUAACUCCGUGCCAGCAGCCGCGGUAAUACGGAGGGUGCGAGCGUUAAUCGGAAUUACUGGGCGUAAAGCGCGCGUAGGCGGUCUGAUAAGCCGGUUGUGAAAGCCCCGGGCUCAACCUGGGAACGGCAUCCGGAACUGUCAGGCUAGAGUGCAGGAGAGGAAGGUAGAAUUCCCGGUGUAGCGGUGAAAUGCGUAGAGAUCGGGAGGAAUACCAGUGGCGAAGGCGGCCUUCUGGACUGACACUGACGCUGAGGUGCGAAAGCGUAGGUAGCAAACAGGAUUAGAUACCCUGGUAGUC
rnacentral:rRNA from 1 species